AUUGAACGCUGGCGGCAUGCCUUACACAUGCAAGUCGAACGGUAACGGGCCUUCGGGUGCCGACGAGUGGCGAACGGGUGAGUAAUGUAUCGGAACGUACCUUUCAGUAGGGGAUAACGUAGCGAAAGUUACGCUAAUACCGCAUAUUCUGUGAGCAGGAAAGCAGGGGAUCGCAAGACCUUGCGCUGAUUGAGCGGCCGAUAUCAGAUUAGCUAGUUGGUUAGGUAAAGGCUCACCAAGGCGACGAUCUGUAGCGGGUCUGAGAGGAUGAUCCGCCACACUGGAACUGAGACACGGUCCAGACUCCUACGGGAGGCAGCAGUGGGGAAUUUUGGACAAUGGGGGAAACCCUGAUCCAGCCAUGCCGCGUGAGUGAAGAAGGCCUUCGGGUUGUAAAGCUCUUUCGGCCGGGAAGAAAUCGUAUCAGCUAAUACCUGGUGCGGAUGACGGUACCGGCAUAAGAAGCACCGGCUAACUACGUGCCAGCCGCCGCGGUAAGAC
rnacentral:rRNA from 1 species